rnacentral:rRNA from 1 species
GGACUACUGGGGUUUCUAAUCCUGUUUGCUCCCCACGCUGUCGCGCCUCAGCGUCAGUGGUGGCCCAGCCAACCGCCUUCGCCACCGGUGUUCUUCCGGAUCUCUACGCAUUCCACCGCUACACCCGGAAUUCCAUUGGCCUCUACCACCCUCGAGCUCCAGAGUAUCCGCGGCCGACCCGAAGUUGAGCCUCGGGCUUUCACCACAGACUGCCAGAGCCGCCUACGCGCCCUUUACGCCCAGUGAUUCCGGACAACGCUCGCACCCUCCGUAUUACCGCGGCUGCUGGCAC